UACAGAGGGGCAAGCGUUAUUCGGAAUUAUUGGGCGUAAAGGGCUCGUAGGCGGCCAACUAAGUCAGACGUGAAAUCCCCAGGCUCAACCUGGGAACUGCGUCUGAUACUGGAUGGCUUGAAUUCGGGAGAGGGAUGCAGAAUUCCAGGUGUAGCGGUGAAAUGCGUAGAUAUCUGGAGGAAUACCGGUGGCGAAGGCGGCAUCCUGGACCGACAUUGACGCUGAGGAGCGAAAGCUAGGGGAGCAAACGGG
rnacentral:rRNA from 1 species